rnacentral:rRNA from 1 species
UACGUAGGGUGCAAGCGUUAAUCGGAAUUACUGGGCGUAAAGCGUGCGCAGGCGGUUGUGCAAGACAGAUGUGAAAUCCCCAGGCUUAACCUGGGAACUGCAUCCGAUACUGGAUGGCUUGAAUCCGGGAGAGGGUCGCGGAAUUCCCGGUGUAGAGGCGAAAUUCGUAGAUAUCGGGAGGAACACCAGUGGCGAAGGCGGCGACCUGGGCCAAUAUUGACGCUGAGGUGCGAAAGCGUGGGGAGCAAACAGG